GUGUCUGGGAAUAUUAACACUCUCCUGUUUUAGGGGUUUUGCUCCAAAUUAAAAUGCAUUCACUGGGCCCCACUGACCCAACACAUGGAAGGGGAACCUGAUGGCUCUGGACUGGGAUGAAGCAGAAGAGAUUGCCAGCAACACAAGGGACAACCUCCCCCUCUCCUCCAACUGCACAAAUGUAUUUCAAGGUAUGGAGGAUCAUUGAGUGAGCAAGCGACAGCUGCAGAGGCAGCACCAACCACCACAGACCCACGGGAUAUUAGCAAUACUGACUGCCUGUCAGAGUGAACCCUCCAGAUUCCUGUGUGCUGGUAUCCAUGGGCUCUUUCUUGCCAAGCUGCCAGUCUGGAGCGUCACACCUUACUGCCUUUAAAGAUUGCCCUGCAGAGAUAGAGGAAAAUGGCAAUUUUUACAUGAUGCAGUCUGGCGGCCCAGGAGAUUUGAAGUCAGAACUGGUGCCAAGAUUUACCCAGGAGAGCAAGCAGAGGCAAAACAGAGAACCUGGGCCAAAAGAAAAAAAAAUAAAAUAAAAAAAAUAAUAAAGCAAAGGGAGUGAAAAGGAGGAAAACGUGGCAGAGUGGGAGCAGAUUUUCUCAUAAAGGGUGGAAGACAGGGCUAAGCAAUGGACACUACAUGUUGUAUGCAUGUGUUUAUCAAGACGGUCAGGGUCCUAAAGAAAGUCAAAGGGAAGAGGUCGGCUUUUUUUGCAUGCCCCAAAUUGUAGUAGAUUGCAGAAUGUAAAUGAGACAAUUAUUACACCAAUGCUCAUCAAGCUGUGCUGGAAAGACUUCAAUAGCCUGAUGAAUAUGCAUGCAAAUUUGUUAAUUAAGUUAAUUAUUCUGCUGAAAAUUCAUUUGUCUUCCAAGGACAUUUUCCCAAUGAUUUUAACACGCUUGUGCCAUUAGUCAUGCUCCAUGUUAUUUAACAUUACUUUUUGUCCACUUUUUCUUUUUUCUUUCCUUCCUUCUUGCUUUUCUGCUCUAUUCUAUUCAGCUUUUUUAUUAAAGCUUUAAAACCAGA